GACGGAGGAUGCAAGCGUUAUCCGGAAUGAUUGGGCGUAAAGCGUCCGCAGGUGGCAGUUCAAGUCUGCUGUCAAAGACCGGGGCUUAACUUCGGAAAGGCAGUGGAAACUGAACAGCUAGAGUAUGGUAGGGGCAGAGGGAAUUCCCGGUGUAGCGGUGAAAUGCGUAGAUAUCGGGAAGAACACCAGUGGCGAAAGCGGGUUGCUGGGCUGACACUGACGCUGAGGCGCGAAAGCGUGGGGAUCAAACAGG
rnacentral:rRNA from 1 species